UACGUAUGGUGCAAGCGUUAUCCGGAUUUACUGGGUGUAAAGGGAGCGUAGGUGGCCUGGCAAGCCAGAAGUGAAAACCCGGGGCUCAACCCCGUGGAUUGCUUUUGGAACCGUUGGGCUGGAGUGCAGGAGGGGUAAGCGGAAUUCCCAGUGUAGCGGUGUAAUGCGUAGAUAUUGGGAAGAACACCGGUGGCGAAGGCGGCUUACUGGACUGAAACUGACACUGAGGCUCGAAAGCGUGGGGAGCGAA
rnacentral:rRNA from 1 species